AUGAACGCUAGCGGCAGGCUUAAUACAUGCAAGUUGAGGGGCAGCAUGAUAUACGCGAGUAUAUUGAUGGCGACCGGCGGACGGGUGAGUAAUAGGUAGGAGACCUACCUCAUACAGGGGGAUAGCAUAGAGAAAUCUGUGGUAAUACCCCAUGAGGUUAUAUGAAUAGAGGCAUAUAAUCAAAGCAUAAGCGAUUAUGCGGUAUGAGAGGGGCCUACUGACCAUUAGCUAGUUGGUGAGGUAAGGGCUCACCAAGGCGAAGAUGGUUAGGGGUUUUGAGAGAGAGACCCCCCACAUUGGAACUGAGAGACGGUCCAGACUCCUACGGGAGGCAGCAGUAGGGAAUAUUGGGCAAUGGGCGAAAGCCUGACCCAGCCAUGCCGCGUGAAGGAAGACAGCCUUAUGGGUUGUAAACUUCUUUACUACGCGAAUAGAGGUUAGUACGAGAUACUAAUAGGAAGGUAGUGUAGUAAAAAGCACCGGCUAACUCCGUG
rnacentral:rRNA from 1 species